rnacentral:rRNA from 1 species
GACGAGCCACACGAACGUUAUUCGGAAUUACUGGGCUUAAAGGGUGCGUAGGCGGUGCGGAAAGUUGGGUGUGAAAUCCCUCGGCUCAACCGAGGAACUGCGCCCAAAACUACCGUACUUGAGGAAGAUAGAGGUGAGCGGAACUCACGGUGGAGCGGUGAAAUGCGUUGAUAUCCUAAGGAACACCGGUGGCGAAAGCGGCUCACUGGAUCUCUUCUGACGCUGAGGCACGAAAGCUAGGGUAGCGAACGGG